rnacentral:rRNA from 1 species
UCCUACGGGAGGCAGCAGUGAGGAAUAUUGGUCAAUGGGCGCAAGCCUGAACCAGCCACGUCGCGUGAAGGAAGACGGCCCUACGGGUUGUAAACUUCUUUUGUAAGGGAAUAAAGUGUAGUACGUGUACUAUUUUGCAUGUACCUUACGAAUAAGGAUCGGCUAACUCCGUGCCAGCAGCCGCGGUAAUA